rnacentral:lncRNA from 1 species
CCUCAACACAAUCCCAUGACCCUAAUACUCGCCUGACCCAUGCCCAGCCACCUGACCCGCUUCAUCUCUUCUUAAAUCUUAGCCUUCCAUUCCACUCCAAUCCAACAGCCUACUACUAAUUCCCCAGCCACAUAAAACCUUACCAUUUGCUAACCCUAACCCUAAAGACAACUCCAAACGGUGCCCACCCCUCUUUUCCUCCACUGUCGCCGCGAGCCACCUUCAAUCCACCAGAAAAUCCACGUUGUCAUCCAUCCAUGUCACUAGUCCCCUCCCUUCGAUGAUCCCCUCCUUCCACAUCACUGAAAUCCCAACGAAUCUCAUCAUUAUAGACACGUUUUCUUGCUUUCUAUGUUGGAAUCGAAUAAAUGGAGGUCGUAGAUUGAGUCACUGUCAAUCUAGACUCUCCAUUUGUUUGAUUUCGAACUAUAAAAGAGAGAAAUCAGAGAAAAAUUGGGGCUCUGGGAGGAGAAAAUUUCAGAGAUGGAAAGCUAGGGUUUUAGUUCCGAUUUGGCAAUCUUCGUCUUCAAAUUUUAGUUUCAUUCAUAUAAAGAACGUUAGAGUUUUUUUUAGUUUGUUCUUUUGAUUUCCUAAAUAGAAAACAAAAAAAUGUAUACUAGCUUCUUGACUUGGUUUUCAACUAUGGAGUUUGAUUGAGGUUUGCUUUGGAGUCGAAGCCGUCGUUCAACGAAAGUUCGUGGUUUCUGUCGAGUCUCGGAUUUCAACAGCUGGUUUCCUUUUCAAGCUCGUUGCCAAGUUUUAUACUUCUUGUAUCACAUUCGAACAUCAAGGGAUAAUCGAAAUAUCAAUUUUCAGGUUCAUACCUCAUCCUUUACUGCUUUCAUAUGGAUCCAAGUAUGAUAAGUGCUAAGUUAAUCUAAUUUAUGGAGUAUUUGAGAAUCGGUUCGAAUAAGUUAACUGAAAUUGAUUGAUGUUCUUUGCUUCCAUUAUAUGUUGAAGUAUAUUUCAAUUUCAGAUUUGUCUAGUAUAAGAUGAUCGAGUCGUUGGCUGCAUUUUUGUAAGUUUAUUUCGUUUGUUGGCUAAGUUUAACCCGAAACUGAUUCAAAGCUUUCUCUAGUGGUUAUUCAUUUUUGUCAAACUGGUUCAUUAGUUUGCGAAUGGUAAUUGAGCUUGAAUAUGUUUGGUUCGAUAUGUUUUGAUCAAGGUCUGGAUGGUUGUGUUAAUGUCGAACGGAUUGUGGCCCGUUAGUAUGCUUUUCUUGGUUUUAGAGUAUGACCAUGUCCAUGUUUUAGCAGUUUGAAAAGACAGUGAUUGUAAAUUGGGAUUAAUGGUUCUGUUUCCUUUAUAGUCAUGACUUAACGCUAGGCUAACUUGUGUACUUGGUUCAUUCUUAAAUGCGUGGGUCGACACUUAGCUUCACUCAUAGGCAACAGAAUUUAAUUUUCAUGUUCACAAAGGUCGUGUUUAGGAAGUACUAAUGAUGUAACGUGAAUCCUUCAUCAUUAUGCUUCAAGUUCGUCGUGUUUAAAUGUCAUCAGAAGUUACCAUUGGUGUCAUGGAGUUUUAUGCCUUGGAAUGAGAAUUUGAAUUGAAGUCCUUUUUCUUAUUUUCCUUUAGUUUGAUCAACAAUCAGUCAAGAAAUAGUUUGUUGAAAUUCUGUGAUAUCAUUGUGGCUAUGUGAAGUUGGAGUGCACUGGAUGGGCAUGCUUUAUUUUUGUUGUGUUAUGAUGCAAAAGUGUAAGUUUAGUGAGCUUAUUAAUAUUCAGUUGUUCCUUCUAACCCUUCUAUAAGUUUAACUUUGCUUAAUUGUUUUAGUGUGUUGUUGAGUAGGUAAAUCACUUUAGUGAUCUUUCUUAUUAAUUUGAUAAAUCUUGAGGUAGAGUAAAUCAGUUAAUUCACACAAUUAAUUGAUGAGUUUUCUAGGACAAUUGGGUGAUACCUGAAUCUUUAAAGGGGCUAUUCCAAGUAGCUUUAAUUUCCUUUCUCUAUCUUUGGUAGCAUAUUUGCUUGUUUCAUGAGUGCUUAUUUUUCUCGAAUGUUUGGUUGUUUGGUCUGAUGUAUUCCACAUUGAUACGAUGGUUAGACAUAAAGACAUAUGGAUGAUAGUUGUUUGUUUGGCCGUAGGGGUGGGGGAUCAAAGGAACAGAACUGAAAUUUGAGAAUCGAACGUUCAUAGUUUCUAUUUUUUCUUCAUCACUAGGAGCAUGUUUAGGCCGACCACUUGGGUAGACAAACUUUAGGAUUUUGUUAAUUUUGAGGUGAGAGGUCGUUCCCUUAGUUAAAUUUAUCCGGGGAAUGCCCCGAAAGACUUGUACAUAUUUUAUUCCGGGGAAUGCCCCGUAGUACUCUAUAAUUAGAGGACAUGACGAAUAUCGUAGAAGUAGUGUAGGAUAAGUUAGAACUUUAAUUUCCCUUGUUUUAACUUUUUUUAUUGGGUAGGGAUGACCCGGGCCUCGUUUGUAUUAAUUUUCUCAUUUCUAUGUUUAUUACCUCAAUUCGAAUAUUUUAAAAGCCAACUUGAUCAUGUACGCAACCGUGAUUUUCACGGAACUUGGGGAGUGCCUAACACCUUCUCCCCGAGUCAAAUGAACUCCCUUACCUAAAUCUCUAGUGUAGACUUAAUUUUGGAGUCUAAAGUGUUUUAAAGAAAAAAUCAUGUUUUAAAAAAAUGGUGACUUGGCACAUCGAAAUCAAAGUCAGGUGGCGACUCUGAGUUAUUUUCUUUUGAAUAAAAUUUUGUCACUUUUUUUUAGUUAAAAACCCUUUUGAGCUUUACUAAUAUUUUUUAUUAUUUUUAAGAAUGUUGGUGAGUUUUUUUAAAAAAGGGGUGUGACAGCUCUGGCGACUCCGCUGGGGAGUUGCAGGUUCGAGCUGAUACUUGAUUUUGUUGGCUUUUUAGAAUAUUCGGUUGAGGUUUUUUAUAUUUUCUUUAUUUUCUUUAUUUGAUUUAUUUUGUUUAUGUCGCUUUAUUUGCUAGUUGUUUUAUGUGUUUACAAUUUUCCUUUAUGUGUUACUGCUUUAUAACUGUCAUCAUAUGCAUUACCCGGUCAAUUCUUUCUGCAACAAGUCUCGGAGGACGCGUCGCGUACACGAACUCUUGUUGAGUCACCCUUAUUUUAGGAGGGGGCCAUCGGACGUAUGGAGUGGGUGGAAAGCUUGACCACCCACCAACGACCAUACGCUCCCCCGAAUUGCCUUGUUAGUGAACCCCAAACUUAGGUCAGCCUUUAGGUCAUUCUUAUUUGCAUCAUGUCAUUCAAACCUAGCAGGGCUUGGUCCCAAGCACCGUGUCCCGUCGUAGGAGGCCUAUCUAGAUUAUGUCAAAAAUGGGUCUGUGGCCCAAAAUAACAUUUAAGCAUCCUAUGUGCUAAAUGUUGCAUCCAUGAGGGUAGAAAGGUUAUUUGGCAGACCGAUGUUUUGGAAAGAAGGGUAAAAAUGAAGCAAGUAGGGCUCAAUUAUAUUUUUAUUUCACAACUUUUUCAAGAAAAACCAAAAAAAUUGAAAAUGAAAAAUCCAAAAAGAUUUUUCACUUUCCAUCAUUUUUCAAAAAAAAAUCAAAAAAAAAAAGAAAGAAAGAAAAAGUAAAUAGGAAAAUACAAAAAGGUUUUACAUUCCCCAUCAUCUUUCAAAAAGACAAAAAAAUAUAGUUUUUCCAAAUUAGUUGCAUUGUUUUAAAAGCUUUCUCCCAUGUCCAAUCUUUUCGAACUACACGAACAUGAUUCUCGUCUUCCGGGGCGGGAUACGCAGGCAACCCACAUAGGGUCCGAUCUUCUUAGUAAGUCUUAGGUUCUUGGCUUCUGGGGUCGUAGCCAAAUUUUGCAUGUAUAGCCAUAUUUGGCCACCUCGGCUGUUCUUGCAAAAUAGGGUUAUUUUCUCAAAGUAGCUUGUUAUCUCAUGUCUUAGAGCCCUGAGUCUACAACAAAGUGUCCUCUCAAUUCUAAGGCCCAUUCCUGUUAAAUUUGCAUGUCUGGCCACAUCGGCCAUUCUUGCAAAAUGGGGCCAUUUUGGCAAAAGUGGUUCAAUUACCAAUGUCUUAGGAUGUUGAGUCCACAACUCGGUGUCAUAUCACUUUAAGGUCCAUCUUUGUCGUGUUUGUGUCCCUAGCCACAUUUGGCCAUAUCGGUCGUUUUGCAAAAUGGGUCAUUUUUGCAAAGUAAUUUUUAGGCCAUGAUUGUUGGGAGUUUGAAGUCGUGUAAGCCUUAAAUGGGUUAUUUUUCAUGCAUUAGGGGUCAACUCUGUCAAGUUUGCACUAAUAGCCACCCUCGGCCACUUAGGCCAUUUUUGUAAAGAAUAGCCAAAUCAUGUCUUGCAGCUGUCCACUAGAAAAUAUUGUGGUGUCACAUAGUGUACCGAGUCGCUAACCAUGUUCUCUUCAGGUAUGGACCCACUGAUUCGAUCCAAAGUGCUGAUGGUAGUAAAAAUUCCUAGGAAGUUGGUCAAAUGGUGGAAAAUGUUUUUGCUGUUAGAGCAACAUAAGCUAAUGCAGAAAUUGGGCACCCUCACUUCCCUUCUUGAUAUCACACCUCGCCUAGACUUAGUGGAGGUGAUGCUGACUUAUUGGGAUCCGGAAAAUUUGAUUUUCAUAUUAGGAGAGUGUGAGAUGACUCCUACCUUAGCAGAAAUGUCUGGUCUCACUCGUUUAAGCUAUUAGGAAAAGACACGAUACUUCUCCGAGACCACUCUAGGACAAGGUUCCUCAGCGACCUGGGCCUGAAAGACAACAAGCAUUUAAAAUGCCUCGAGCAGUCCUGGAUAUCCUUGGAUUAUUUGUUUGCUAGGUUUGGACCACAGGAUAGUUUUGACGUCUUUUGGGAUAAGUUUUUCACAACCAAGGCAAAGUGGCAAAGACGUCGACUCGAAGCUUUAAGCCUUGUUGGGAUUAUUGAUUUUUCCAUUAGAUAAGAGGCACAUUAGCACCCGUCUACAGUCAGUGGUAAUGGCACUAUGUCAUGAGAAGCAAUGCAAAACAGUUACCGUUGUGCCGAUGAUCUUAGCAGAGUUGUAUCAAGCCCUGAGUGAGGUUAGGGGAGGUGUCAGGUAUUUUGAGGGAAGUAACCUUUUGCUACAAUUGUGGAUGAUGGAGCAUUUUCACACCGCUUCCUUACUUUGUUCCAUCGACCAUGCCUUGAGCUUCCUUACUUUGUUCCAUCGACCAUGCCUUGAGGGAUCGGGUGGUAUGCAUCGAGCGUAGGAUGAAAUCUCCUAAGUUUACAUACCCAGUAAGCGUCACAGCUUGGAUUGAGUUCCUUUGUUUGAGGACAAAUGGGAAUGUUUUGUGGGCUUACCUUUGGCUACCUUUAGAUGAGAUCUUGGUAGGAUGCCGCAUGCAACCUUUCCUGAUGUUAAUAGGACUUAAGUGUGUCAAGCUGUACACUCCCGUUAGGGUAAUGCGACAGUUGGGUAGGAGACAAGAGGAGCCUCCAACUUUGAAUCUUUGAAGGCACAUUAUGUAUUUUAGCAAAAAGGCGGCUGACGAAAACAAGUAUGUGCAAUACUGGAACAAUGCUAAUAGGAUGAAGAAAAAUACAUUAGUAGAGGAUGUUGGCAGGCUCGAGUGUACUCAGGAGUACUUGAUGUGGUUACAGUCCGUCCCACGAGGGGUCAGCACCCCAUUGAUAGCACAACUUAGGGGUCGGGCAGUUCAGACAGAUGAUUUUGAGGAGGCAUCGAACCAAGAUCCUUGGGAUAAGUUUGAGUUGAUAAAGUCUCAGUUAGCGGGAUUGGCAGCAAAUGUGGAGCAGCAUGGCCAGUAUUUGUUUAGGGUCGGCCUUCAGGAUGCACCGGAGCCCACCUUCAAAGUCACAGAUCCUUACUCCUGCACUCCCCACCUUGAGCCUCAUGUUGAAACUAACAAACCACCCAAGAACACAGAGCAAGAGUAGAUGUUCAGGAAAGUAAAGAGUCUGGAGCAAUCAUUGAGAAAUAUGCAAGGGUUGGGAAACCAGGUGAGUGUGGCCUAUAAGGAUUUGUGUUUGUUCCCCGAUGUCCAACUGCCUGUCGGGUUCAAGAUGCCUAAGUUUGACUUGUAUGACGGACAUGGGGAUCAUGUAGCUCAUCUGAGAGGGUAUUACAGUAAAAUGAGAGGUGCCAGGGGAAAAGAUGAAUUACUGAUGGCAUACUUCAGCCAGAGUCUGAGUGGAGCAGCUUUAUAAUGGUACACCCGCCAGGACGCCAGCAGGUGGUACACAUGGGACGAUAUGGCUUAGGCCUUCGCCGGCACUUUCAGUACAAUAUAGACAUUAUCCCAGACCACCUAUCUUUGACUAAGGUGGAAAAGAGGCCCAGUGAAAGCUUUAGAGAAUAUGGGUUCCGAUAGAGGGAGCAAGUUGCACGAGUCAAUCCUCCGUUGGAAGAAGACGAGAUUGUUGAAUACUUUCUUUAAGCCUGGAGUCUACUUACUAUGGCCAUUUGAUUUCAGGCAUUGGUAAGUCUUUCAAUGAUGUGGUAAAGAUGGGAGAAAUGGUGGAAGAGGGGCUCAAGUCGAGCAAGAUCAUGAGCUACCCCGCCAUAAAAGCAACCACCCAGGCAAUCCAGAGUGGUACCGAAAGUUUGCUAGGCAAGAAAAAGAAAGACGAUAUCGCCAUGGUUGUCUCUGACCAUGGCAUGGACAAAGGGGUUCACCUCAUCAGUACACCCAUCCUUGACCCCGACCUCAAACCUAUGCCCAAGCUCCAUAUAAUCCACCCCAAUAUUACUUUCCCUGGCAAAACCCCCAAUACUCAGCCAGGCCACCUUACUACCAUGUCCACCAUGCCCAGUCAUACACCCAACCUCCUUCUUACCCACAAUGGCGCCUAGCCCCACAGAAUACCUACCCAGCUCCACAAAAUUCCUACCUACCUCCACAAACAUACUGAAACCCUGUCGGUCUAGGAUUCUGGCCCAAGCCAGUAUUCAGAAAUGAAAGGCUGCAGCGAAAGAAAACUUUUACCCCGUUUGGGAAGUCUUAUACCAGUCUAUUCCAAAGAUUGAGGCAAAUGGAUCUGUUGAGGCCAAUCGAGUCAAAAUUGCCAAACCUUCCUCCAAAGAAUCUAGAUUACUCCCUCAACUGUGCAUAUUGUUCUGGUGCUUCGGGGCACGAUACAGAAAAGUGUUGGCAUUUGAAAAAUGCCAUCUAAGAGCUCAUCGACACAAAAUCAGAUUGUGGUCGAAACUCUGAGAGCACCCAACAUCAAUCAGAACCCAUUGCCGGCCCAUGAUGAAACAAACAUGAUUGAGAUAGUUCACAAGGAUGGGGAGCCCAAGAAGUCUUCUAAGUCCGUCAUGAUGAUUCGGGCCAGUGAAAGUAAUAUGGUUAAAGCUCCAGACUCUACCAAAGCAAAACCCUUGACAGUUAAAGGGGCGACAGAAAAGCUGAGCUCGCUCAAUUUGAAGCCACCAAUGUUGGUCAUGAAAGGGACUUCAAAAGAUAUUGGGCCAAGUCUGGAAAGUUCAAAAGUGGUAGUGCCAGGGAUUCCAAGUAAGCCAGUCAUAGUUGUGAAGGGGGCUCCUAUUACCCCUAACAUCAUUAGACUAGUGACCCAGCUGCCAGUGGUUGAUGCCAAGGCUGUUCCGUGGAAUUACAAAUAAGUGAUAGUGAUAUAUAAAGGAAAAGAAAUAGAGGAAGAAGUUAAUGAAACUGGAGGAUUGACUCGUUAUGGGAGAUGUUUCACCCUAGAAGAAUUAAGAAAAGCCAAGCCAUUCAAGGAUAAUCAAAUGCCAGUAAAGAAAUCGGUCACCGAAAAAGAGGCUGAGGAGUUCAUGAAAAAGAUGAAAGUGCAGGAUUAUUCCAUUGUGGAGCAGUAAGGAAAACACCAGCUCAGAUUUCUCUUUUGUCUUUGCUGAUACAUUUAGAUGAACAUCGCAGGGUCCUGAUGAAGAUUUUGAAUGAGGCACAUCUUCCUGACAAAAUCACAGCGAACCACUUGGAAAAUAUAGCUAGCAAGAUCUUUGAAGUAAAUAGGAUCACUUUCUCAGAUGAUGAACUUUCUAUGGAGGGUACAGAACACAACCGAGCUCUUUAUCUCAUGGUAAAGUGUGAAGAUUCUAUUGUCUCAAGGGUUUUAGUUGACAAUGGCUCUAGUGCGAAUAUUUGCCCCCUGUCUACUCUACAAAAAUUGAAUAUCGGCACCGAAAGAAUCCACAUGAACCGUGUGUGUGUCGAGGCUUUGAUGGGGGAGGUAAAGACUUUGUUAGAGAUAUAAUGCUCGAAUUAUCGAUAGGGCCAGUUGAGUUCACCAUGGAAUUCCAAGUGUCAGAUGUGGUUGUCUCUUACAAUCUGUUGUUGGGUAGGCCCUGGAUACAUGUUGCUAAGGUAGUCCCGUCUUCUCUGCACCAAAUAGUGAAGUUCGAAUGGGACAGGCAGGAAAUAGUUGUGCAUGGUGAUGAGGACUUAUCAGCUUGUAAUGACACAAUUGUUCCGUUUAUUGAAGCUGAAGAUGAUAAGGGACCUUGGGUCUAUCAAAGUUUUGAAACAGUGUCUGUUGAGAAUAUUCCUGAAGGAAAAUACAUUCCGGGUCCUAAGCUAUCCUUCGUGUCUAUCAUGGUUGCGAAUGAAAUGUUGAAGAAUGGUUUUUUGCCUGGCAAGGGUCUGGGCUCAUCUCUGCACGGUAUUGUGCAUCUAGUGCGCCCUAGUGGGAAUCCUGGUACAUUUGGUUUGGGAUUCACGCCCACAGAGAAGGACGUAAAAAGGGUUAAAAACCUGAAACAGAAGGCAUGGUCACUCCCCAAGCCUGUCCCUCACAUCUCUAAGUCUAUUAUCAAUCUAGGGGCCGAAAAACCUCCAACCUCGUCAAUCCCAAAACCUACGGUUGAUGUUGAUGAAGAGCUGAUCAAGAGGUUCCAGAGUCUGUUUGAUGAGGUCAAUAUUGAAGAAGUUGGUGAAGGUUCUAGUAAAGCAGACGUGCAGCUCGUGGGGCCAAACGUGAAGCUUAGCAAUUGAGAAGCUACUCCUCUCCCCACCAGGAAGGAGUUUUGGUAGUCUGCUUUGUUUUCCUUUCUGCUGUCUAGGUUAUUCUAGGGUUGUAAUCUAGAUUUUUAAUUUUUGCUUGUUUUGAUGUUCAAACUCUUCUAUCCUUUUAUUUUCAAUGAAAUGCAAUUUCCCGUUUUCCAGUGUUUCUAAUAGUGUUUCAUUUUGUUUUUCUUUUGUACAGUUCUUUUUAUGUUGGUUGCAAUGACACGACAUGCGUGAGGAAUUUUCAACCAAGUCUUAAAAGCCAAUCUAAUUCUGAAAUAAUAAUCCAAGAAGUAGAAUAUAAUGAUGAAAUAGAAUAUGAUGAAGAAGCAGCAUUUAAGGAAAUCAGUAAAGAGCUAAAACAAUUUGAAGAAAAACCAAAGCCUAAUCUGAGUGAAACUGAAGCAAUCAAUUUAGGGGACCAGGAUAAUGUAAGGGAAACCAAGAUAAGAGUGCAUCUGGAAUCACAAGUUAAGGAAGAAAUAAUCAAAAAAUUGUUUGAGUACAAAGAUGCCUUUGCAUGGUCGUAUGACGAUAUGUCGGGCUUAAGCACUGAUUUGGUAGUUCAUAAAUUGCCAACUGACCCAGCAUUCCCUCCUGUCAAGCAAAAGCUAAGAAAGUUCAAGACUGACAUGAGUGUGAAGAUCAAAGAACAAAUCACAAAGCAGCUUGGUGCAAAGGUCAUUCGAGUCAGUUGAUAUCCCACUUGGUUAGCUAACGAUGUACCAGUACCAAAGAAGGAUGGUAAGACUAGGGUAUGCGUUGAUUACCGUGAUCUUAACAAAGCGAGCCCAAAGGAUGAUAUUCCAUUGUCGAACACUCACAUUCUGAUCGAUAAUUGUGCCAAACAUCAGAUUGGGUCUUUUGUGGAUUGUUACGCGGGAUAUCACCAGAUCUUGAUGGAUGAGGAAAGUGCAGAAAAGAUAGCGUUCAUCAUGCCAUGGGGAACAUAUUGCUAUCGGGUAAUGCCAUUUGGUCUAAAGAAUAUUGGGGAAACUUAUAUGAGGGUGAUGACAACAUAUUUCAUGACAUGAUACACAAAGAGAUUGAGGUUUAUGUAGAUGACGUGAUCAUAAAGUCAAAGAAGCAGUCUGACCAUAUCAAGGACUUGAGGAAGUUUUUCCAAAGGCUCCGCAGGUAUAACCUCAAGCUCAAUCCAGCAAAAUAUGCAUUUGGUGUCCCGUCUGGGAAACUGCUGGGAUUCAUGGUCAGUUGACGCGGUAUUGAGUUGGAUCUGUUGAAGAUCAAAGCCAUUCAAGAGCUACCACCGCCCAAGAACAAAACAGAGGUGAUGAGCCUGCUUGGAAGGUUAAAUUACAUCAACAGGUUUAUUGCUCAGCUCACAAGAACUUGUGAGCCCAUCUUUAAGCUACUGAAGAAGAAUGUUGCAGUCAAGUGGACUGACGAGUGUCAAGAAGCAUUUGAUAAGAUUAAGAGGUACUUGUCGAACCCACCUGUGUUGGCCCCACCAGAGCCUGGGAGACCUUUAAUUCUUUAUUUGAUAGUCAUAAAUAAUUCUUUUGGUUGUGUAUUGGGUCAACAUGACAUCAUGGGAAAGAAGGAGCAAGCAAUCUAUUAUCUCAGUAAGAAGUUCACUCCCUAUGAGGUUAAGUACACUCUGCUUGAGAGGACAUGGUGCGCCCUAACUUGGGUAGCACAAAAGUUGAAGUAUUAUCUGUCGUCCUACACUACUUACCUUAUUUCUCGCAUGGAUCCUCUAAAGUAUAUCUUUUAGAAGCCUAUGCCCACGGGAAGACUUACAAAGUGGCAGAUUUUACUUACAGAUUUUGACAUCAUCUAUGUGACUCGGACUGCGAUGAAAGAACAAGCCUUGGCCGACCACUUGGCCGACAAUCUGGUGGAUGAAGAGUAUGAGCCACUAAAGACUUAUUUUCCUGAUGAGGAAGUGAUGCAUGUUGAUGAGGUAGACCAUGAUGAAAAGCCAGGUUGGAAACUCUUCUUUGAUAGAGCUACUAACAUGAAAGGUGUCGGAAUAGGGGUUGUACUCAUCUCUGAAACAGGGCAACACUACCCUGUAACAGCCCAACUUCGAUUUUAUUGCACCAACAACACAGUUGAGUACGAAGCAUGCAUUUUGGGUUUUAGGUUAGCUAUAGACAUGGGAGUCCAGGAAAUACUGGUUCUGGGAGAUUCAGAUUUGUUGGUUCACCAGAUUCAAGGAGAAUGAGAAACUCAGGACUUGAAACUCAUACCGUACCGACAGUGUCUGCAUGAUCUUUGUCAACAAUUCAGGUCGGUAGAAUUCAGACAUAUUCCCAGAGUUCAUAAUGAUAAUGUCGAUGCCUUGGCUACUCUGGCGUCAAUGUUACAUCACCCGGAUAAGGCUUAUGUUGACCACGUGCAUAUCCAAGUUUGUGAUCAGCAUGCUUAUUGUAAUGUGGUUGAAGAGGAAAUUGAUGGCGAACCUUGGUUCCAUGAUAUCAAGGAAUACAUCAAGUUGGGGGUAUAUCCAGUACAUUCCAUGGGUGAUCAAAAAGAACCAUUCGACAUCUGGCUAGUGGAUUUUUCUUAAGUGGGGAAUCUUGUACAAAAGGACUCCAGAUUUGGGAUUGCUGAGGUGCAUAGAUGCUAAAAAAGCUUCAACUAUCAUGGCCGAAGUGCAUUCUGGAGUUUUCGGGUCGCAUAUGAAUGGGUAUGUCUUGGCAAAAAAGAUACUUCGAGCAGGUUAUUAUUGGCUCACCAUGGAACGAGAUUGAAUCAGCUUUGUUCUCAAAUGUCAUCAAUGCUAGGUGCACGGUGAUUUGAUUCAUUCUCCCCCAUAUGAGUUACACACAAUAUCUACACCUUGGCCCUUUGUUGCUUGGAGCAUGGAUGUCAUUGGACCGAUUGAGCCGGCAGCAUCGAACGGGCAUAGGUUUAUUUUGGUGGCCAUUGAUUACUUUACCAAGUGGGUCGAAGCUGUAACUUUCAAGUCCGUUACCAAGAAGGCAGUGGUGGAUUUUUUUCAUUCAAACAUCAUUUAUUGGUUCGAAAUUCUCAAGGUGAUCAUCACAGAUAAUGCUGCCAACCUCAACAGUUAUUUGAUGAAUGAGGUAUGCCAACAGUUCAAGAUUAUGCAUCGAAACUCCACUCUGUACUGUCCCAAGGCGAAUGGAGCUAUUGAGGCUGCUAACAAGAACAUAAAGAAGAUACUUCGUAAGAUGGUGCAAGGUUCUAGACAAUGGCAUGAAAAGUUGCCUUUUGCAUUACUGGGUUAUCGCACUACUGUUCGCACUUCAGUAGGUGCAACUCCUUAUUUGCUAGUAUAUGGAACUGAGGCAGUUAUACCUGCGGAAGUUGAGAUUCCAUCCCUUCGGAUCGUUGGAGAAGCUGAAAUUGAUGAUGAUGAGUGGGUCAAAACCCGGCUAGAGCAGUUGAGUUUGAUUGAUGAGAAAAUAUUGGUUGCAGUAUGUUAAUGGUCAAUUGUAUUAGAAGAGAAUGGAAAGAGCAUACAACAAAAAAGUGCUUCCUCGGAAAUUCAAAGUGGGCCAGAUGGUAUUGAAACGCAUCCCUCCUCAUCAGGCUAAAGCUAAAGGCAAGUUCGCCCCAAACUGGCAGGGGUCGUUCAUAGUGACAAGAGUGUUACCCAAUGGUGCUUUGUAUUUAACAGACAUAGAAGGCAAAUGUGUAGAUAUGGCUAUCAAUUCUGAUGCAGUCAAGAGAUACUAUGUAUGAGUUCUUGCCUUCAAUUGCAUUUUGUACUUGGCAUUGAAAUGACGAAGGCAUUUUGUUCCGCUACCCAAACACUUUCAUCCUUUGCUACCCCCUUUUGGGCCUUAUUUAUUUUCUUUCAUACCCCUCUUUUGGAAUCAGGAGCCGAAUUAGAGAAUGAAAAAAAUGAAAAAAAAAAAGAAGGAAAAAAAAAGAAAAAGAGAAAAAUGAAGAAGGAAAAAAAAGAGAAGAAGAAAAAAAAAGAAAAAAAGCAACAAAAACAAACAACUUUUACUUUUGAACUACGUUCGACCAGAUUCCUUUUAAGGAUACGUAGGCAGCCUUACACGGUUCGGUCCUAUCAAAAUAAAAAAAUCCAAAAUUCCCCAGACCUAAAGAAAUUGGGGCAGCAAUUUUGGUUUUGAAAAAGAUCUGAUUCCAAAAGUUGUAAUUUUGAACCCUUUUCAUCUUAAAUUAUUUUGAGCCUUCAUGUCACCCCAUCUUUCUAACCCUAUCCAAAAGCCUACAUUACGGUCCAAAUAAAGACCUUCCGAUCAAUCUUUGAAGAUGCCAAGUCAAGCGAUAUAGAGGUAUGAUUUACAUGAUGGGUAGCACUUUAUUCAUGGGCACAAGAGAGAAAAUUUAAAACGAGAGAGUCUUAUUGGUAAAAACCUUCACGGGCACCGUAAAGCGAUGGUGAGGUGAGAGAAAAUUUAAAAUGAGAGAGUCUUAUUAGUGAAAACCCUCGCGCGCACCAUAAGGCGAUGGUGAGUUGAGAGAUGAACAAAUGAGAGAGGCUUGUUGGUGAAAACCCUUCGGGGCACUACAAGUUGAAUGAGGCUCCUGACUUUACGGAGAAAUUGGAUCAGUGAAAGCCCGGUUUUUGAAGUAUGAAGACAUGAACUGAAAGUAUGAUUAGUUGAACGGAUUAGGUUGAUCAAUCCGAAAUGCGUGUCAUGAUUAUUGAAGCUAGCCGCUUCACUCAGAUAAGUCUUCUUUUCCCAUUCUUCUUCACAUAGUCAUUUGUGUUCAAAUUUUCCUUUGUUCCUUUUGCCAAAAAUCAUCUCACUUUGCUCUUUGAAUCUAUCUUUAUGAGUCUCUUCCGAGUUAGCCUUUGUUGAACAAGCAGGAAUGGAUUCCAAAGCCUACUACUAGCUUCUAAAUUGCCCAAAGCGGAGUUCGGCCAGGUACAUCACAAUUGACAUGAUUUAGAAUAAGCAGUAUGGUGAUAACUGAGGUUCAGUCAAUUAAGUGAAUCUUGAAUUUUGAGAAAAUACAAGGAUGCAGCAGCUUUCAGAAUGAAAACACUAUGCAACAAGUGAGUGUGAGAGAUUUAGGUCAUUCAGAGGUUUUGUGGUCCAGUUUCAAUCAAAAGGUCAAACAACUUCUUGCUAGCCCGAAGUAGCUGAUCAGAAUGAAGCAUGGCAGUGGCAAAAGCAGACACUCAGCAAUGAUGCCACAAAUUAACCACCGUAUUUUCAAACUAACAAAAUUUUAUUUGUCUGAAACAGGGGCAAGAAAAAUUGUUAAUCUACAGGGACCCUCCCAUGAAGAAGGCAUGGUUCAGGGACAAGAAAUUUUGUUCAGAAUCCUUCAAGAAGAGAGCAUGGCUCAGGUAAGUUCAUUCUCGGUUUUUCAGGACCCUCCUGGAUAAUGGGAUUUAGUUUUCAAGUUUUCAAGACCCUCCUGGAUAAUGAGAUUUAGUUUUAAGUUUUCAGGACCCUCCUGGAUAAUGGGAUUUAGUUUUAAGUUUUCAAGACCCUCCUGGAUAAUGGGAUUUAAUUUUCAAGUUUUCAGGACCCUCUUGGAUAAUGGGAUUUAGGUUUUUAAGCUUUCAGAACCCUCCUGGAUAAUGGGAUUUAGUUUUAAGUUUUCAAGACCCUCCUGGAUAAUGGAAUUUAGUUUUAAGUUUUUAGGACCCUCCUGGAUAAUGGGUUUAGUUUAAGUUUCCAGGGCCCUCCUGGAUAAUGGGAUUUAGUUUUAAAAGCUUUCAGGACCCUCCUGGAUAAUGAGAUUUAAUUUAAAACUUUCAGGGCCCUCCUGGAUAACGGGAUUUAGUUUUAAAAGUUCUCAGGACCCUCCUAGAUAAUGGAACCUAGUUAAAUUUCAAGGCCUCCAUAGAUAACAANNNNNNNNNNNNNNNNNNNNNNNNNNNNNNNNNNNNNNNNNNNNNNNNNNNNNNNNNNNNNNNNNNNNNNNNNNNNNNNNNNNNNNNNNNNNNNNNNNNNNNNNNNNNNNNNNNNNNNNNNNNNNNNNNNNNNNNNNNNNNNNNNNNNNNNNNNNNNNNNNNNNNNNNNNNNNNNNNNNNNNNNNNNNNNNNNNNNNNNNNNNNNNNNNNNNNNNNNNNNNNNNNNNNNNNNNNNNNNNNNNNNNNNNNNNNNNNNNNNNNNNNNNNNNNNNNNNNNNNNNNNNNNNNNNNNNNNNNNNNNNNNNNNNNNNNNNNNNNNNNNNNNNNNNNNNNNNNNNNNNNNNNNNNNNNNNNNNNNNNNNNNNNNNNNNNNNNNNNNNNNNNNNNNNNNNNNNNNNNNNNNNNNAUGUUUUUGGCAAUCAGGUGCCCACCUGGAUAACAGAGGAAUACUGUUCAACUUUUGGCAAUCAGGCACCCACCUAGAGAACAAGGGAAUACAAUUCAAGUUUUGGCAAUCAGGUGCCCACCUGGAGAACAAGGAAAUUCAUUUCAGAGUUACUUUCAAUUCGCAAAUUCAAGAAGCAUCAAGAUCCCACCUGAAGAACAUGGUUUAUUUUUCAGUUUCAUGUUGGAGAUCAAGUAGAGAUACAAGGAAGAUUCAAGAUAAGAAGUAGAUAGGAUUCUGUAUUUUCUUUUACUUUUGCUGUAAUUUUUCCUUUUAUUUUUGAUGUAAUGGCAGGAACUGCGGACCGGAACCUCGAUGGCACUUCACUCAACUCUCCACCUCAGUAUACUCCAUCGCUCUUCUCACUCCGAACUACUCGUGGCCUGAUUCCUUUAUAGACAAGGAUAUGUAGGCAGCUCAGAUACCAGGGCUUGGUCACUUUCUCUUUUCUUUUAGUUUUGUCUCUAAAUAAGAGUCGGGUCAAAAAAACAUGUUUUGUUGUUCUUUGUCUGAAAACACUUCGUGUUUCCCAUCAAAGAGAGGCAGCUGUAGACAUGUAAUUUUUGACCCGCACAUUAGAAUUACCUUUAAUAGUCCUAGUAUUUUUAGGAUAUUUAUUUGAGUUUAUUUCUAUAUGAUUUUACUUUAUUAUUAAUUUUAAUUCUAUUUUUAAAGGCACAAAAAUUGAAAAAUACAAAAAUAGUUUCAUGUUUUAUCUUAUUUCUAUUUGGUUUAGGUUAUUAAUAUUUUUAUAGCGAUACUAUUUUUAAUUUUACCAUGACAUUAACGUAUUUUUCUUUUAGUAUAAUCUCUGAAAAUACAAAAAACAAUUAAACUUUAUAUUGUGGUUUAUCUUAAUUUAGUUUUGUAUUUUUAUUCCUUAUUAAUAAUUUAUAAUACUCUUAUUUUAUUCAAAGAAAGAAUGAUUUGUGGUAGUUGUUUUAAUUGGAUUUCAAAGUUGGCCCAAUUUUGGGAAUUUCAGCAGCUCAAUCCCCUCAACCCAAUCCCAUGACCCCAAUACCCGCCCGACCCGUGCCCAGCCACCUGACACGCCCCAUCCCUUCUUAAAUCUCAAUCUUCCAUUCCAUUCCAAUCCAACAGCCCACAACUAAUUCCCCAACCAUAUAAAAUCUUACCAUUUGCUAACCCUAACCCUAAAGACAACUCCAAACGGCGCCCACCCCUCUUUUCCUCCACUGUCGCCGCGAGCCACCUUCGAUCCACCAGAAAAUCCAUGUUGUCGUCCAUCCAUGUCACGCGUCCCCUCCCUUCAAUGGUCCCCUCCUUCCACAUCACUGAAAUCCCAACGAAUCUCAUAAUUAUAGACGCAUUUUCUCGCUCUCUAAGUUGGAAUCGAAUAAAUGGAGGUCGUAGAUUGAAUCAUUGUCAAUCUAGACCCUCUAUUUGUUCGAUUUCGAACUAUAAAAGAGAGAAAUCAGAGAAAAAUUGGAGGUCUGGGAGGAGAAAAUUUCAGAGACGGAAAGCUAGGGUUUUAGUUCCGAUUUGGCAAUCUUUGUCUUCUAAUUUCAGUUUCAUUCAUAUAAAGAACGUUAGAGUUUUUUUUGGUUUGUUCUUUUUAUUUCCUAAACAGAAAACAAAAAAAGCAUAUACUAGCUUCUUGACUUGGUUUUCAACUAUGGAGUUUGAUUGAGGUUUGUCGUGGAGUCGAAGCCGUCGUUCUGCGACAGCUCGUGGUUUCUAUCGAGUCUCGGAUUUCAAUAGCUGGUUUCCUUUUCAAGCUCGUUGCCAAGUUUUAUACUGCUUGUAUCACAUUCGAACAUCAAGGGAUAAUCAAAAUCUCAAUUUUAAGGUUCAUACCUUAUCCUUUACUGCUUUCAUAUGGAUCCAAGUAUGAUAAGUGCUAAGUUAAUCUAAUUUAUGGAGUAUUUGAGAAUCGGUUCGAAUAAGUUAACUGAAAUUGAUUGACGUUCUUAACUUCCAUUAUAUGUUGAAGUAUAUUUCAAGUUCAGAUUUGUCUAGUAUAAGAUGAUCGAGUCGUUGGCUGCAUUUUUUUAAGUUUGUUUCAUUUGUUGGCUAAGUUUAACCAGAAACUGAUUCGAAGCUUUCUCUAGUGGUUACUCAUCUUUGUCGAACUAGUUCAUUAGUUUGUGAAUGGUAAUUGAGCUUGAUUCUGUUUGGUUCGAUAUGUUUUGAUCAAGGUCUAGAUGGUUGUGUUACUGUCGAACAGAUUGUGGCCCGUUAGUAUGCUUUUCUUGGUUUUAUAGUAUGACCAUGUCCAUGUUUUGGCAGUAAGAAAAAAAAGUGAUUCUAAAUUGGGAUUAAUGGUUCUGUUUCCUCUAUAGUCAUGACUUAACGCUAGGCUAACUUGUGUGCUUGGUUCAUUCUUAAACUCGUGAGUCGACA